rnacentral:lncRNA from 1 species
UCUUCAUUAAAUUAUCUUGAUUAUUCUUAGGUUCAUGUGAUUGUAGUUAUCAAACAGUUUGUAUAAAAAACUUAUCAAAUAGUUUGCUUAUUUUGAUUAGAAGAGAAGUUUUGUUUUAUUUGUUAUUUUGAUUGCUUAAGAUAUUCAAUCAUUAAAUUUUAGAAGAGAACUUUUGUUUUAUUUGUGGUUUUUGUUUUAUUUGUGAGUUUAGAACCAUUUUACUUGGUUGCCUUUCGACUGAUCGAUUAGAUAUCAUUUCGCUUUUGUCCCAGUCCUUUAAUGCAUUGUG